rnacentral:sRNA from 1 species
UAACAAGACAAGCCUAAUGCUUAAUGCAGCGGGGGAUUUCCUAAAUUAGGGGUGAAUCCUUCACUGGUAGGGAAAAUCUCUCUUCCCGAACCCGUCAACUAACCUCGCAGGCUCAAUUUGAGAGGAGAA